rnacentral:rRNA from 1 species
UACGUAGGGGGCAAGCGUUAUCCGGAAUUAUUGGGCGUAAAGAGUACGUAGGCGGUUCAGUAAGCGCAAGGUGAAAGGCAUAGGCUUAACCUAUGUAAGCCUUGCGAACUGUUGAACUUGAGUGCAGGAGAGGAAAGCGGAAUUCCUAGUGUAGCGGUGAAAUGCGUAGAUAUUAGGAGGAACACCGGUGGCGAAGGCGGCUUUCUGGACUGUAACUGACGCUGAGGUGCGAAAGCGUGGGGAGCAAACAGGAUUAGAUACCCGGGUAGUCCCUGAG